rnacentral:lncRNA from 1 species
AUGACGUCAAAGGCGAGGGAGGGGCGGAUCCCGCAAUCCCGAAAAGACCUCCACGGUUGGGUGACUUUUGCAAGACGUUUCCCGGAACCAGCCGCUUUUCGGCGCGGCCAUCCGAGCAUCAUGGAUUUGAAUUUGCAGUUUUGGAGAAACGAGGGUCAAGCGGACAUUAAUGCAUCAAGAGAUCUUUUACUGAAUAGUGGAGAAAAUGUAACGUCUUCACAAGAUAAAAAGGUCAGAGAUGCCUGGAAAAUAAGUCUGAGCUGCGUGAAUUCCAGCACUGGUGAUACAAUUCCAUUCUUCUUUAGAGGAGGAGGUCAGUUUCAAAUCUCAGUUUAUUCCAAUUUGAACUCAGGUUUUCAGUUUAGUUUUUAGUUUACUUUAUUGUCAUUGCACCUUCUAUAAUGAAAUUAAAUGCCAUCUUCAGUGUACAUUAUAACUAUAAAAAUAAAACACAAACACGCAUCCUUCACAUUCUAUACAAUUGAAUUGAAAACCCGAUAUUGCAUUAAUAUUGCACUAUAC